AAAUCAAUUCAAGUAGUCUUCUUCCAAAUCCAAGCUCUCUCUUUCAAUAUCUCCCUACACCUUUCUAGUUUCCUUUUCUUUAGUUGAAUCUUUCGAUCUUAGUUAACGAUCUUGGGCUAGCAGAAGGUCUCCCCAAUUACACCUUUCUUGUGCUCUUCUCUACACUCACAUCAUAUUCAUAAUUCCUUUAAAAGGGAUAGACAAACGGAAUAAUCAUAAGUUAAGGUUUCAAGAUUUGUGGUUACCAAAUGAAAUAUCCUUGGAAAAAGUAAAAACCAAAAAUGUACAAAAGAACCAAAUAUGGUGUUGAAAUAUUCUUCUCCAUGAGGAAAGGAUCCAUUAGAGCAGAGCCAAGUAUGAAAUUUUCUGUGAUGUUAGUGGAUUCUAUGCAUAUAUAUUAGCCAUUAAGAAUGUGAUUCCACUUCUCUUGGUUCAUCAAGUAUAUAUGCAAAGUUUGAGUUGAUUGGACUUUGUUUCCAUUUUCAAUUUAGUAAAAAACAAUUUUCAUUUUUUUCUGGUCAAGGUUUAAAUGAUUCUGGAGCACCAUACUCACUUGUCAACUCAUUAGUAUCAC
rnacentral:lncRNA from 1 species